rnacentral:lncRNA from 1 species
GCCAGGUGCAGGAGGCAAUCAGCCUGACCCUUCGCUGAGCUGUUAACACUUAGCUGUCCACAGACUGUAAGCUGAGUGAAAUGAGUCACUCCAGUUCCUGCCCACAAGGGGUUCAAGGUCAAGGGAACAAGUACCAUCUCAAGGCAACCAUCAGGAACUGGCCUUAGGAGAUCCAGAAUAUCAAACCAAGGUUGAGAGUGUCCCAUCUCAGGAAAGAAUGAACAAUUGAUUUACAGCCUUGUUGCCUCCAGCUAGACCACCAGGUGGCCCAUUACCCAACAUAACCAUUGCAACUAGAUAAUGCUGACCUGCAUACCCUACCCCUCAGAGCUUUGCCCCGU